UUUUCUUAGGGUGUGUUUCAUAACCCAACGAGGGGCUUUGGAAGAAAGGGUGGCCAAGGGCUCAUCUGUGACCCUCAGCCUCAUGAGAAUUGUGGGAAGUUUUCUCUACCCUGGCACCUACCUCACUCUUUACUGGAAGACCCGUAUAGGACCGCACGCACAGUUUUUGCUGCCCCUCUCCAGAAUUUUUCACCUCGUGGGACAUUGCUGUGACCAUCAUGGGAGGAUGGCCUGAACCCUGGAGAGAAGUUAGCCUCCAAUAGCUUGAAGGAGACUGACAAGGACCAUCUCCUGGAAGGAAGAAAAGAAAGUGCUAAUGUGGCACGGGUGAGGGACUGACCUAAGUUUUUUUCACAAGUGAGCUCAUCUGAGGGGCUGAGGCUGUAGCUCAAUGGUAAAGUGCUUGCCUCUCAUGUGUGAGGCAUUGGGUUCAAUCCUCAGCACCACGUAAAAAUAAAGAUACAAGUGAGCUCAUCUGAGUCCAUAAGGGUGUUGUGAGCUAGGUGGAACAUUUGAUAUAAGGAAAUUGGUUCAUCAGGUUAAAAUAGGUCACCUCAUAUCUCAUAGCAAGGAUGACAUAGAGCCAUACUCUUGGAGACUCCACUGCAGUUGUGUUCUAGGGUUCUGGCAAGAAAGGAUCAUCUGGUCAAGUCUCCCUCACAGUCUUGAGAUGCUAGGGACCAUAUUAGAGGGUAUGAACGAAGGCAUCUUACACUAUGGCCUACCCCUCCAAGUUCUCAGCCGUUUGUCUCAGAACAAAACCACACUAGGUAGCCAGGUGUUCAGGCGUAUGCCUGUAAUCCCUGCUACUUGGGAGGCUGAGGGAGGGAGAUUGCAAGACCAGCCAAAACAAUUUAGUGAGAUCCUGUCUCAAAAAAGGGCUGGGGAUAUAGCUUAGUGGUUAAGUGCACCCAUGUUCUAUCCCUGGUACCAGAAAAACAACAACAACAAAAAUAAAAUAAAACACAUUAAACCAUGCGGGGUGGCUUUAUGCUUGUAAUCCCAGCAGUUUGGCAGUUUGGGAGACUGAGACAGGAGCAUUGCAAGUUCAAAGCCAGCCUCAGCAAAAGUGAGGUGCUAAGCAACUCAGUGAGACCCUUUCUCUAAGUAAAAUACAAAAUAGCACCGGGGAUGUGGCUCAGUGGCCUAGUGCCCCUGAGUUCAAUCUCUGGUACAAAAAAGAACAAAAAAAAAACCCACAUAAGUAACAGAUGAAGGAGGGCAUUUGAGGUAGAAUCCCCAAAAGGCAGAGGAGAGGCAACCCUCCCCCACUCUUCCUUGGUCUUGGAGGGGUUAAUGAAAGGAGUCCUGUGUAUCAGAGUUGGGCCUUUUUUUAGCACCAUCUGGCAGGAGUCACCUCUCCUGCACCUGCUACUUAUACAAACCAUUGCUCCUUUGCCAGUCAGCAGUGCAGAGAUGUGAUGCCUGUGUAAUUUGGAUUCAGUGGCCCCCAGGGUCAGUAUGUUCUUUGUUUCAUGUUCUGAAAAUGGAAGCCCCUACUUGCUGUUGAGUUGUAUGUGGAACCGAAGGGACAAGAGAAAGUCAACAGAGGCAGAAGUCUCUCUCUCCCACCCUCCAAUCUCAAAACUUGGCUGAAGUAUGAGAAAGAGAAACUUCCAAGGCAAACAAAUGAAGGCCUAAGUAUUUAGGAAUAGUUCUUCAAAGCACAGGGCUUUGUAGGUAGGUACUUCUUAGUUCUGAACAGGUAGCUUCUAUGUUUCAGAUCAAAACAGUGCAUGAAACUGGUUGACCCAGGGACCCUUGGAAUUGAGUGAGGUUUUCCCUUCCUUUCUUUGCUGCCAAAGCAGCUUUUCCUGUCCUAAAUUAGCUGACAUACUUAUUGAGACCUACAAAGUGUGGACCCUCAGGAACUUGCAGACAAGUGAGGGGCUGGAGAGUGACUAUAAUUUAGGUUAAGUCUACUCAGUUGUGUUAUGAACCAGUUUGAAGAAGUGAACAGAAGGGGUCUGGUCAUCCUCAGAAGUAUAGAAGUGAGGGCUGGGGAUGUGGCUCAAGCGGUAGCGUGCUCGCCUAGCAUGCGUGCGGCCCUGGUUCGAUCCUCAGCACCACAUACAAACAAAGAUGUUAUGUCCGCCGA
rnacentral:lncRNA from 1 species